GAUCAUGGCUCAGGAUGAACGCUGGCGGCGUGCUUAACACAUGCAAGUCGAACGAAGCAACUUGUACGAUCCCUCGGGGUGACGACUGUGACUGAGUGGCGGACGGGUGAGUAACGCGUGGGUAACCUACCUUGUACAGGGGGAUAACAGUUGGAAACGACUGCUAAUACCGCAUAAGCGCACAGCAUCGCAUGAUGCAGUGUGAAAAGUUUUUCGGUAUAAGAUGGACCCCGCGUCUGAUUAGCUAGUUGGUGAGGUAACGGCCCACCAAGGCGACGAUCAGUAGCCGACCUGAGAGGGUGACCGGCCACAUUGGGACUGAGACACGGCCCAAACUCCUACGGGAGGCAGCAGUGGGGAAUAUUGCACAAUGGGCGAAAGCCUGAUGCAGCCGACGCCGCGUGAGCGAAGAAGUAUUUCGGUAUGUAAAGCUCUAUCAGCAGGGAAGAUAAUGACGGUACCUGACUAAGAAGCACCGGCUAAAUACGUGCCAGCAGCCGC
rnacentral:rRNA from 1 species